rnacentral:rRNA from 1 species
GACGUAGGGGCCAGCGUUGCUCGGAAUUACUGGGCGUAAAGGGUCCGUAGGCGGUGCGGUAAGUCGGGAGUGAAAUCUCUGGGCUUAACUCAGAGGCUGCUUCCGAAACUACCGUGCUAGAGUGCGAGAGAGCAAGUGGAAUUGCGGUGUAGCGGUGAAAUGCGUAGAUAUCCGCAGGAACAUCCGAGGCGAAGCGGCUUGCUGGAUCGCAACUGACGCUGAGGACGAAGCUAGGGAGCAACAGG